CAACCUCCAAGCCAAAGAGCAGAGCGCGUACGUGUUCUAACUGACACGGGAAAAUACCGAUUUCAUCGCCGAUUUCGUUCUGAUAUCGUUGUUCCCUUGCCACGAAAAUACCUCUAUAAAUACCUCUGUUUAUCCUCCGUAUUUCCCCUUUGAAACCCUAAAAAUCGCGCCGCCAUUCCGCAGGAUUUCUUCGCCGCAGUUCAUCUCGACCACCACGACGUCGAUUCCGACGAAGCGCGCUGUCGUUCAUCGAUCUCCGGCCGCCUCUACUCGCAGUUCCAGGAAGAACACGAGCAUCACGACCACGCCUUCGAGUUCCCAACAUCAAGCCGCACCCGGUCCUCUACAUCCCAAGACCGCGGGAUCCCUAUAUUGACGACGACCUGAAUGCCCGGCUCGCCGCCGUGUUCGGACACCAUCGUACGGAGUUUAAUACCUGUUGUUGCAAGGAGAGUGCGAACGCCAGCGACAAAUAAG